GAUGAACGCUGGCGGCGUGCUUAACACAUGCAAGUCGAACGGAAAGGCCCAAGCUUGCUUGUGUACUCGAGUGGCGAACGGGUGAGUAACACGUGUGAGAUCUGCCCUGCACUUCGGGAUAAUCCUUGGAAACUGGGGCUACUACCGGAAAUGACCACAUGGUGGGUGGGGUGGUGGAAAGUUUUGCGGUGUGGGAUGAGCUCGCGGCCUAUCAGCUUGUUGGUGGGGUAAUGGCAUACGAAGGCGUCGACGGGUAGCCGGCCGGAGAGGUGGUACGGCCACACUGGGACUGAGAUACGGCGCAGCCGCCUACGGGAGGCAGCAGUGGGGAAUAUAGCACAAUGGGAGCAAGCCUGAUGCAGCGACGCCGGGUGGGGGAUGACGGCCUCCGGGUUGUAACCUGCUUUCGCCAGGGAUGAAGCGCAUGUGACGGUACCUGGAGAAGAAGCACCGGCUAACUACGUG
rnacentral:rRNA from 1 species